rnacentral:lncRNA from 1 species
CAUAUUUAAGCUGUCUUAGACGUAUGAUCCAAACAUAUGUCAUGUUAUAAGUACCUGAAUUACUAAGUAGUAUCAAUGAAAGAUAUAGUUUUCAAUGCCAUGCAAUUAUAAAUGUAUUGUAAUAUGAGAAACUGCAUGUAUCUGAAUGCUUCUUAGUACGGUUCUUAUAAAUCAUUGGGUUUCAAAUAUUCGACAUUAAAAGAGGGACGAAAGAUAUCAGAGGGACAGCCAAACUCAUUAAGCGUUCCUAAUGUAGAAAAUUUAUAAAGUGCUGUUUUCAUUUUUACACCACUGAGUCGAUGUCACUGAUGGUGGACUAUCAGUCUAUCAUCAGGUCGGAAGUCAGCACUUCGGUUCUAACAUGAUGUAUUACAAGCGUCCG